rnacentral:lncRNA from 1 species
ACACGUCCCUUACACCGUGUGCGGGCUGGGAGCUCCUUCCCUCAGCCCGGCUCGCGGAGCCCCGGACGGAGCCGGCCACCCGACUGUCCCGCCGUGAACCCCCAUUGGCCCGCGCCGCCCGGGCCCCCGCCUCCCGCUCGACGCCCGGCUGCGGAGCUGCCUGGCCAUCUCCUGCCCUCGGGGAUGUCGGCGCAGUGCACCGCGUGGGCUCGCGUCCCGGCGGCCCUUUGCCUCGGCGCGCCGGCGUACGGGAAGGGAGAGGCUAGUGGUAACAGGCCGAGCUGGAUGGAUGGGUAUGGGGAGAGGGGCAGGACGUUCAG